rnacentral:rRNA from 1 species
GAUGAACGCUGGCGGCGUGCCUAAUACAUGCAAGUCGAGCGAACAGACGAGGAGCUUGCUCCUCUGACGUUAGCGGCGGACGGGUGAGUAACACGUGGAUAACCUACCUAUAAGACUGGGAUAACUUCGGGAAACCGGAGCUAAUACCGGAUAAUAUAUUGAACCGCAUGGUUCAAUAGUGAAAGACGGUUUUGCUGUCACUUAUAGAUGGAUCCGCGCCGCAUUAGCUAGUUGGUAAGGUAACGGCUUACCAAGGCAACGAUGCGUAGCCGACCUGAGAGGGUGAUCAGCCACACUGGAACUGGAACACGGUCCAGACUCCUACGGGAGGCAGCAGUAGGGAAUCUUCCGCAAUGGGCGAAAGCCUGACGGAGCAACGCCGCGUGAGUGAUGAAGGUCUUCGGAUCGUAAAACUCUGUUAUUAGGGAAGAACAAAUGUGUAAGUAACUAUGCACGUCUUGACGGUACCUAAUCAGAAAGCCACGGCUAACUACGUG